UACGUAGGCAGCGAGCGUUGUUCGGAAUUACUGGGCGUAAAGAGUGUGUAGGCGGUGCUCCCAGUCUGUUGUGAAAUCUCCCGGCUUAACUGGGAGGGUGCAGCGGAAACUAGAGUGCUAGAGGGUGGGAGAGGUAAGCGGAAUUCCUGGUGUAGCGGUGAAAUGCGUAGAUAUCAGGAGGAACACCUGUGGUGUAGACAGCUUACUGGACCACUUCUGACGCUGGAGACACGAAAGCGUGGUAGCAAACAGG
rnacentral:rRNA from 1 species